rnacentral:rRNA from 1 species
AGAACGAACGCUGGCGGCAUGCCUAACACAUGCAAGUCGAACGCGUGGAGCAAUCCACGAGUGGCGCACGGGUGAGUAACGCGUGGGAACCUGUCCUGGAGUGGGGGAUAACCGAGGGAAACCUCGGCUAAUACCGCAUACGUCCUGAGGGAGAAAGAUUUAUCGCUCUAGGAGGGGCCCGCGUCGGAUUAGCUAGUUGGUGGGGUAACGGCCUACCAAGGCGAUGAUCCGUAGCUGGUCUGAGAGGAUGAUCAGCCACACUGGGACUGAGACACGGCCCAGACUCCUACGGGAGGCAGCAGUGGGGAAUAUUGGACAAUGGGCGCAAGCCUGAUCCAGCAAUGCCGCGUGAGUGAUGAAGGCCUUAGGGUUGUAAAGCUCUUUCGGCGGGACGAUGAUGACGGUACCGCAGAAGAAGCCCGGCUAACUUCGCGCCAGCAGCCGC